rnacentral:tRNA from 1 species
GCGGUAAUAGUUUAGUGGUAGAAUACAGGACUGUGGAUCCUGUGGCCCGGGUUCGAUUCCCGGUUACCGCC